rnacentral:rRNA from 1 species
AGUGGGGAAUCUUAGACAAUGGGGGCAACCCUGAUCUAGCCAUGCCGCGUGAGUGAUGAAGGCCCUAGGGUCGUAAAGCUCUUUCGCCUGUGAAGAUAAUGACGGUAGCAGGUAAAGAAACCCCGGCUAACUCCGUGCCAGCAGCCGCGGUAAUACGGAGGGGGUUAGCGUUGUUCGGAAUUACUGGGCGUAAAGCGCACGUAGGCGGACUAUUAAGUCAGGGGUGAAAUCCCGGGGCUCAACCCCGGAACUGCCCUUGAUACUGGUAGUCUUGAGUUCGAGAGAGGUGAGUGGAAUUCCGAGUGUAGAGGUGAAAUUCGUAGAUAUUCGGAGGAACACCAGUGGCGAAGGCGGCUCACUGGCUCGAUACUGACGCUGAGGUGCGAAAGUGUGGGGAGCAAA